GGCGAGAUGGCCGAGAGGUCUAAGGCGCCAGAUUUAGGCUCUGGUAUCUUCGGAUGCGUGGGUUCGAACCCCACUCUCGUCA
rnacentral:tRNA from 1 species